UAAUUUUUAAUUGCAAUUUGUAAUAUAAACAUUGUUUAAAUAUUAAAAAAUAUAAAAAAACUUAAAUAGAUAUCGAUUACAUAAAGAAAACGGAAUUGUAUAGAUUAUAUAUUUCAAAAAAGAUUUCUGAAAUUAGUUGUCGUCUAAAUCUUUUGAAAGGUUUGACUAGUUUCUCAAUAUAUUGUCGAAUCUGCAAUUCCACUGUAAUCUAAUACGAUCCAGAAGUAUCAUUAGGUGCUUCAGGUCACGAAGUGAAAAGAGGGAGAUGUAGAGAUUUUGCGGACGAUGUAGAUAUAUUCGGAGGAAUUUCGUAGCAAAAAUAACUUCGGUAGACUACCGGUGGCUGCCCAGCAGUGACGCGUCAGAGAGAAUCCGAAACUUUCAUAAGAUAAACGUGCGUUUUGCCCAUGUACAUCUUCGUUUUUCAAUUCUUCGCUGUUUUCGUUCGAGUUUCCGGCCAUUAAUGACGGCGUAACCGAGUUCCAGACUGACAGUUUAACUAAAUUAUAUAUUAAUUAU